UGAAAUGUGUAAUUUUAAGCAGAAGUGGUCCUGCAGAGAUUGUCAUCUUGUUGGCAGGAGAAUGGCAUCUUACCGAGUAAGAAUGAGGACUGCAAGAGGAGGGGGCACAAGAAGCCUGAGAGGAAAAAAAGCAGUGAGACAUCUUCAGUCUUCCAGCCAGGGGCAGAAGGAUGGCAUUUUCAGGAUGGGAGCAAAGAACAUUUCACGGAGUAUGCAUUGGAUUUGAGCUUGCCCUUGAGGAUCUGGACAAGAGGAAAAGGUAAGUUGCAUGGCAGCAACGGGGAGGGAUGUGGCACAGUCUGGGAGUG
rnacentral:lncRNA from 1 species